UCCUUAUCAAGAGAGGUGGAGGGAAUGGGCCCGAUGAAACCCGGCAACCAGCAUUUUUUGCAUGGUGCCAAUUCCUGCAGGCUAUGCCUGGAAGAUGAGGG
rnacentral:ncRNA from 2 species